rnacentral:tRNA from 1 species
GAGCACUGCUGUUAAGUUGGUUAACACCCGACUCAUAAUCGGAUAUUCGCACGUUCGAUUCGUGCCAGUGCUCG